GACGAACGCUGGCGGCGUGCUUAACACAUGCAAGUCGAACGGAAAGGCCCCCUUGUGGGGUACUCGAGUGGCGAACGGGUGAGUAACACGUGAGUAACCUACCCUUGACUUUGGGAUAACUUCAGGAAACUGGGGCUAAUACCGGAUAGGAGCUCCUGCCGCAUGGUGGGGGUUGGAAAGUUUCGGCGGUUGGGGAUGGACUCGCGGCUUAUCAGCUUGUUGGUGGGGUAGUGGCUCACCAAGGCUUUGACGGGUAGCCGGCCUGAGAGGGUGACCGGCCACAUGGGGAAGGGGAUACGGCCAAAACCCCUAGGGGGGGAAGGAGGGGGGAAUAUGGAAAAAGGGGGGGAAGCCUGAGGAAGCAACGCCGGGGGCGGGAUGAGGGCCUUCGGGUGGUAAACCGCUUUCGCCUGUGACGAAGGGGGGGGGAGGGAAAGGGGGAAAGAAGCACCGGAUAACUACGU
rnacentral:rRNA from 1 species